AACGAACGCUGGCGGCAGGCCUAACACAUGCAAGUCGAGCGCGCCCUUCGGGGUGAGCGGCGGACGGGUGAGUAACGCGUGGGAACGUGCCCUUUUCUACGGAAUAGCCUCGGGAAACUGAGAGUAAUACCGUAUACGCCCUUUGGGGGAAAGAUUUAUCGGAAAAGGAUCGGCCCGCGUUGGAUUAGGUAGUUGGUGGGGUAAUGGCCUACCAAGGCGACGAUCCAUAGCUGGUUUGAGAGGAUGAUCAGCCACACUGGGACUGAGACACGGCCCAGACUCCUACGGGAGGCAGCAGUGGGGAAUCUUAGACCAUGGGGGCAACCCUGAUCCAGCCAUGCCGGGUGAGUGAUGAAGGCCUUAGGGUUGUAAAGCCCUUUCAGCUGGGAAGAUAAUGACGGUACCAGCAGAAGAAGCCCCGGCUAACUCCGUG
rnacentral:rRNA from 1 species